UGAAGUUUCCAUAAUUUGCACGGAGAGGUUGGUUUGCAUCUAAUAUGUUCCCUUGUUUAUGAAAUAUAGUUAAAUACACUAUUCCUAGCCCACCAAGUAAAGACGACAAUCUUUGGUCACAACCAGCUAAAGCAAAAGUUCUAAAAAUGGAAACACAAUUGUGAGCACAUUGGCAGUUGUCAAGUGACUAAUUAUCCACAAAGGGAUCGGCAUAUCAAUUAUUAUAUGAACCAACGAACAAGAACUUAGAGCAGCAUAUGGUUUGUGGGCUUGUGGGAGUACCCUAUAAAUCUGAACUGGCAUAAUGAGAGCAAGCUGAGGGUGGUGACUGCUGACAGUGGCGAGAUCGAGGACGGAGUGGGUGGUGGCGUCGAAGGAUGGUACUGCCGGACUGCGGACCCGUCGGCAUCGAGGAAAGCCCCUAGAAUCGGCGGCGGAUUCUGGGCGCGGAAGGUCAGCAAGGAGCGGACGGCGCGGAGCCACGGGCGGCAGGCGAGGCGAGCGCAGCGCUGAGGGAUGACGAGGGCCGGGAGGCGGAGGAACAUCUCCAGGAGGAUGUGUGAGACUGCGGCACAGAGGCCCUUGGCCUUGGGGCACCGCUUCACCUGCCAAUGCUCAAAUUUGAACUUUGAAUGGUUCGAACGACCGUACAAGAUUCCAUCCAAGUUCUUUAAGAAUAUAUGAAAUUUUUUUAAUAUAUCCAUGCUGAUACGGAUAA